GAGUUUGAUCCUGGCUCAGGAUGAACGCUAGCGGCAGGCUUAACACAUGCAAGUCGAGGGGUAACAGGGAUUGCUUGCAAUCCGCUGACGACCGGCGAACGGGUGCGUAACGCGUAUGCAACCUACCUUUUACUGGGGGAUAGUCAAGAGAAAUUUUGAAUAAUACCCCAUACGAUCAUUUAUUUGCAUAAAUAGAUGAAGAAAACUCCGGUGGUAAAAGAUGGGCAUGCGUCCUAUUAGUUUGUUGGUGAGGUAACGGCUCACCAAGACUACGAUAGGUAGGGGUCCUGAGAGGGAGACCCCCCACACUGGUACUGAGACACGGACCAGACUCCUACGGGAGGCAGCAGUGAGGAAUAUUGGACAAUGGAGGCAACUCUGAUCCAGCCAUGCCGCGUGCAGGAAGACGGCCCUAUGGGUUGUAAACUGCUUUUAUACAGGAAGAAACGUCAGUACGUGUACUGACCUGACGGUACUGUAAGAAUAAGGAUCGGCUAACUCCGUGCCAGCAGCCGCGGUAAUACGGAGGAUCCAAGCGUUAUCCGGAAUUAUUGGGUUUAAAGGGUCCGCAGGCGGUCUGAUAAGUCAGAGGUGAAAUACUAUCGCUCAACGAUAGAACUGCCUUUGAUACUGUUAGACUUGAGUUAUUGUGAAGUAGUUAGAAUGUGUAGUGUAGCGGUGAAAUGCAUAGAUAUUACACAGAAUACCGAUUGCGAAGGCAGAUUACUAACAAUACACUGACGCUCAUGGACGAAAGCGUGGGUAGCGAACAGGAUUAGAUACCCUGGUAGUCCACGCCGUAAACGAUGGUCACUAGCUGUUUGACUAACAUUGGUUUAGUUGAGUGCUAAGCGAAAGUGAUAAGUGACCCACCUGGGGAGUACGCUCGCAGAGUGAAACUCAAGGAAUUGACGGGGCCCGCACAGCGUGAGCAUGUGGUUUAUCGAUGAUACGCGAGAUCUUACAGGCUUAAAUGUAAGUGCAUGGAUCAGAGAUGGUCUUUUUCUUCGGACUACUACGAGUGCUGCAUGCGUCAUCAGCUCGUGCGUGGAGGUGUCAGUAGUCCUAUAACGAGCGCACUCCCUAUCGGUAGUUGCCAGCAGUAGCUUGUACUCUCAGCGGAACUUGUCCGGUCAACUCGAAGAGAAAGAGUGUGUGUGAAUAUAUACGAU
rnacentral:rRNA from 1 species